rnacentral:tRNA from 1 species
ACAGUGGUGGUUCAGUGGUAGAAUUUUUAAUUUCCAUGCAGGAGACCUGGGUUCAAUUCUCAGCCAAUACA